AAGAAGUCUGGAGACAGGUGCUGCAUGGCUGUCGUCAGCUCGUGUCGUGAGAUGUUGGGUUAAGUCCCGCAACGAGCGCAACCCUUGCCUUUAGUUGCCAGCAGUUCGGCUGGGCACUCUAAAGGGACUGCCGGUGUUAAACCGGAGGAAGGUGGGGGAUGACGUCAAGUCCUCAUGGCCUUUAUGACCAGGGCUACACACGUACUACAAUGGCCGAUACAAAGGGCAGCGACACUGCGAGGUGAAGCCAAUCCCGUAAAAUCGGUCUCAGUCCGGAUUGGAGUCUGCAACUCGACUCCAUGAAGUUGGAAUCGCUAGUAAUCGUGGAUCAGCAUGCCACGGUGAAUACGUUCCCGGGCCUU
rnacentral:rRNA from 1 species